UCCCUUGUGGCUCAGACAGUAAAGAAUCCACCUGUAACGUGGGAGACCUGGGUUCGAUCCCUAGGAUGGGAA
rnacentral:tRNA from 1 species